UUUUUGUUCUGUAAAUCAUCAUAUUUUAACCUCUAAUAUGUCAUCUUUAGGUGGGAUCGCACAAACAACCCAGAGCCCUGGAACAAACUGGAGCCCAAYGAGCAGUACAAAUUUUUCAGAGUCAACAUGGAUUACUCCAAACUGAAGAAGGACCGGCCAGAUUUCUAAGUCCUUUCACAACUGGGAUGCCGAGUUUAUGCACUUUUUUGUUUYGCCAAAGUACAAGUUGAAUGUUGGUCAUUUAACAGUUGAUUAUCAUGAAAGGGAUCAUAAACCUAUACAAGUUUGAAUAAAAGCAGGCUACCACCUGUUUUUUAUUGAGAAAUUCUGUUUUUUUCUUUUAUGUGUUAUAAAUUAUUAAAACAAUUAAAAUGAUUAACCUCA